rnacentral:rRNA from 1 species
UACGAAGGGGGCUAGCGUUGCUCGGAAUUACUGGGCGUAAAGGGAGCGUAGGCGGGUUGACAAGUUGGAGGUGAAAGCCCAGGGCUCAACCCUGGAAUAGCCUUCAAAACUGUCAGCCUUGAGUAUGGAAGAGGUAAGUGGAAUUCCGAGUGUAGAGGUGAAAUUCGUAGAUAUUCGGAGGAACACCAGUGGCGAAGGCGACUUACUGGUCCAUGACUGACGCUGAGGCUCGAAAGCGUGGGGAGCAAACAGG